rnacentral:rRNA from 1 species
AUUGAACGCUGGCGGCAGGCCUAACACAUGCAAGUCGAGCGAGCGGCGGACGGGUGAGUAAUGUAUGGGGACUGCCCGAUAGAGGGGGAUAACUACUGGAAACGGUAGCUAAUACCGCAUACUAUCGGAUAACCCAUAUGGGAUUAGCUAGUUGGUGGGGUAACGGCUCACCAAGGCGACGAUCCCUAGCUGGUCUGCGAGGAUGACCAGCCAAAUGGGAACGGAGACACGGUCCAGACUCCUACGGAGGCAGCAGUGGGGAAUAUUGCACAAGGGGCGAAAGCCGGAUGCAGCCAUGCCGCGUGUAGGAAGAAGGCCUGCGGGUUGUAAAGUACUUUCAGCGGGGAGGCGUUACCGGCAGAAGAAGCACCGGCUAACUCCGUGCCAGCCGCCGCGGUAAUAC